rnacentral:rRNA from 1 species
GACGAACGCUGGCGGCGUGCCUAAUACCUGCAAGUCGAACGCAGUUGCGAACGGGUGAGUAACGCGUAGGUAACUGCCUCAUCGCGGGGGAUAAUUAUUGGAAACGAUACCUAUUACCGCAUAUUGUGGGAUGGACCUGCGUUGUAUUAGCUAGUUGGUGAGGUAAAGGCUCACCAAGGCGAGGAUACAUAGCCGACGUGCGAGGGUGCGCGGCCGCACUGGUACUUGUACACGGCCGAGACUCCUACGGGAGGCAGCAGUGGGGAAGCUGCGGCAAUGGACGGAAGUCGGACCGGGCAACGCCGCGUGAGUGAAGAGGGUGGUCGGAUCGUAAAGCUCUGUUGUUAGAGAAGGGGUAACUAACCAGAAAGGGACGGCUAACUACGUGCCAGCAGCCGCGGUAAUAC